rnacentral:rRNA from 1 species
UACGAAGGGGGCUAGCGUUGUUCGGAUUUACUGGGCGUAAAGCGCACGUAGGCGGUUUGUUAAGUCAGGGGUGAAAUCCCAGAGCUCAACUCUGGAACUGCCUUUGAUACUGGCAAGCUAGAGUCCGGAAGAGGUAAGUGGAACUCCUAGUGUAGAGGUGGAAUUCGUAGAUAUUAGGAAGAACACCAGUGGCGAAGGCGGCUUACUGGUCCGGAACUGACGCUGAGGUGCGAAAGCGUGGGGAGCAAACGGG